AGUGAACGCUGGCGGCAGGCCUAACACAUGCAAGUCGAACGGCAGCACAGUAAGAGCUUGCUCUUACGGGUGGCGAGUGGCGGACGGGUGAGGAAUACAUCGGAAUCUACUUUUUCGUGGGGGAUAACGUAGGGAAACUUACGCUAAUACCGCAUACGUUCUACGGGUGAAAGCAGGGGAUCUUCGCACCUUGCGCGAUUGAAUGAGCCGAUGUCGGAUUAGCUAGUUGGCGGGGUAACGGCCCACCAAGGCGACGAUCCGUAGCUGGUCUGAGAGGAUGAUCGGCCACACUGGAACUGAGACACGGUCCAGACUCCUACGGGAGGCAGCAGUGGGGAAUAUUGGGCAAUGGGCGCAAGCCUGAUCCAGCCAUACCGCGUGAGUGAAGAAGGCCUUCGGGUUGUAAAGCCCUUUUGUUGGGAAAGAAAAGCAGCAGGUUAACACCCCGCUGUUCUGACGGUACCCAAAGAGUAAGCACCGGCUAACUUCGUG
rnacentral:rRNA from 1 species